rnacentral:rRNA from 1 species
AUCCUGGCUCAGAUUGAACGCUGGCGGCGUGCUUAACACAUGCAAGUCGAACGAGAGGACAAGAGAAGCUUGCUUCUUUUGGAAUCGAGUGGCAAAUGGGUGAGUAACACGUAAACAACCUGCCUUCAGGAUGGGGACAACAGACGGAAACGACUGCUAAUACCGAAUACGCUUGGAAGACCGCAUGAUUUUCCAAGGAAAGGGUGGCCUCUACCUGUAAGCUAUCGCCUGAAGAGGGGUUUGCGUCUGAUUAGGCAGUUGGUGAGGUAACGGCCCACCAAACCUACGAUCAGUAGCCGGUCUGAGAGGAUGAACGGCCACAUUGGGACUGAGACACGGCCCAAACUCCUACGGGAGGCAGCAGUGGGGAAUAUUGCACAAUGGGGGAAACCCUGAUGCAGCGACGCCGCGUGAGUGAUGAAGUAUUUCGGUAUGUAAAACUCUAUCAGCAGGGAAGAUAAUGACGGUACCUGACUAAGAAGCACCGGCUAAAUACGUG